GAUGAACGCUGGCGGCGUGCCUAAUACAUGCAAGUCGAGCGAACAGAUGAGGAUCUUGCUCCUCUGACGUUAGCGGCGGACGGGUGAGUAACACGUGGAUAACCUACCUAUAAGACUGGGAUAACUUCGGGAAACCGGAGCUAAUACCGGAUAAUAUAUUGAACCGCAUGGUUCAAUAGUGAAAGACGGUUUUGCUGUCACUUAUAGAUGGAUCCGCGCCGCAUUAGCUAGUUGGUAAGGUAACGGCUUACCAAGGCAACGAUGCGUAGCCGACCUGAGAGGGUGAUCGGCCACACUGGAACUGAGACACGGUCCAGACUCCUACGGGAGGCAGCAGUAGGGAAUCUUCCGCAAUGGGCGAAAGCCUGACGGAGCAACGCCGCGUGAGUGAUGAAGGUCUUCGGAUCGUAAAACUCUGUUAUUAGGGAAGAACAAAUGUGUAAGUAACUAUGCACGUCUUGACGGUACCUAAUCAGAAAGCAACGGCUAACUACGUG
rnacentral:rRNA from 1 species